CUUCGGGACGAUAAUGACGGUACCGGAGGAAUAAGCCCCGGCUAACUUCGUGCCAGCAGCCGCGGUAAUACGAAGGGGGCUAGCGUUGCUCGGAAUCACUGGGCGUAAAGGGCGCGUAGGCGGCUGAUUUAGUCGAGGGUGAAAGCCCGUGGCUCAACCACGGAAUGGCCUUCGAUACUGAUUGGCUUGAGACCGGAAGAGGACAGCGGAACUGCGAGUGUAGAGGUGAAAUUCGUAGAUAUUCGCAAGAACACCAGUGGCGAAGGCGGCUGUCUGGUCCGGUUCUGACGCUGAGGCGCGAAAGCGUGGGGAGCAAACAGGAUUAGAUACCCUGGUAGUCCACGCUGUAAACGAUGAAUGCUAGCCGUUGGGGUGCAUGCACCUCAGUGGCGCCGCUAACGCUUUAAGCAUUCCGCCUGGGGAGUACGGUCGCAAGAUUAAAACUCAAAGGAAUUGACGG
rnacentral:rRNA from 1 species